rnacentral:rRNA from 1 species
AUUGAACGCUGGCGGCAUGCCUUACACAUGCAAGUCGAACGGUAACAGGUCUUCGGAUGCUGACGAGUGGCGAACGGGUGAGUAAUACAUCGGAACGUGCCUAGUAGUGGGGGAUAACUACUCGAAAGAGUGGCUAAUACCGCAUGAGAUCUACGGAUGAAAGCAGGGGAUCGCAAGACACUGUGCUACUAGAGCGGCCGAUGGCAGAUUAGGUAGUUGGUGGGAUAAAAGCUUACCAAGCCGACGAUCUGUAGCUGGUCUGAGAGGACGAUCAGCCACACUGGGACUGAGACACGGCCCAGACUCCUACGGGAGGCAGCAGUGGGGAAUUUUGGACAAUGGGCGAAAGCCUGAUCCAGCAAUGCCGCGUGCAGGAUGAAGGCCUUCGGGUUGUAAACUGACUUUGUACGGAACGAAAAGCCCCGGGUUAAUACCCUGGGGUCAUGACGGUACCGUAAGAAUAAGCACCGGCUAACUACGUGCCAGCCGCCGCAGUAA